GUUAACCAGACAGUCAGUCAGCAAAAGAGUCAAUAUAACCCUGCAGAAUAGAGACUCAAGGUCUUUUCCGAGGGACCUAUUGGACUCGCCUUUCCACAUAAAUCAGAUGGAGUAUGAUGUCCUCCUUCUGGAUGCAGCAGUGUGGAAACCUGUACACGGUCCAGGGAAGCAACAGGCAGCUUGAAGAAGGGAUGGACAGUGAGAUGGAAAGUGACCAGCAAGGCCAGAAAUCAUAGUAUAUGGGGAAAUGAUCAUUGACUGUGACUUACAGAUCUUGAAAGAAAUAACCUCAUGUACAACCUCCUACACAUGUGCUAUGCACAGAAUGUGUUGUGAGUCUGAAUGCAUCUCAUUGGCUUCUGUAAAAAGAGGUUACAUGUCCCACACUUGUUUACUUUUGUUUUUCAUUCUCUUACUGUAAUGUCUCGACACACACAUAUAUACACAUAAAUAAUCUAAGUGGUAUAAAGUUGUAUUUUCAUAUUGACAACUGGUUGUCAUGGUAACUCUUCAGCCUUCAGGUGAAAGUCCUGAAGUCCGACUCUCAGCUUUCAAAAUUGUCUAAUUAUAAACCCAGCAGCUGCUGCUGUUUGCCAUAUGCUUGACUUUGUGUGCGUGUGUGUGUGUGUGCGUGUACUGGUGUGUACGUGUGUGUGUGUGUGUAUGUUUGAAAGCAUACGUAGGACUUUCCUUCUGUGUACGUGAACACAUGUGAGUUGUAUAAUCAUGUUUUUUAUGGUGUGUGCAUGUUUAUGUGCAAAAACACAUUGGGCCUUUCCAUAACUCCUUUUAUAGUGUGUAUUCAGGGACAUAUUUAGUUACACUCUUCUGAAGCAGAGUUUAGGCAUAAAGGUUUGAUGCCUUGGAGAGUUUUUUAAAAACAAUAAAUCCAUCAAUCUGGAUCAGGUGAGGCAAUAGUGUUUUUUUUUUCAGUUUCAUUUCGAUUACAAUUAAAAAAAAAACACUGUUUAUUAAAUUUCAAGUCACGCAAUCUUCUUGCAACCCUUCAGAUUUCAUUUUUAUUAGAACAGCUCAAAAAAGGAAGCCCUUGAUCGCUUGUCUAAAACUCUGCAGAGAUUACUGUUUCCUCUUCAGCAUCUAGUCCUGACCAAUGAGAAGCUUUGUUUCUCAACACAGUGAUGCAACUGCUACUAUAUUACGUUCUCUAAACGUAUGUUUAAUAUAUGCUGUUGUGUGAUUAUGUGCUAUUCAGAGAUCCCCAUAUUUUCGAGUAAUGAAAUACAUAAUGUCAUCUUGCUUUGUAAAAGAUAAACUGAUUGGAGUGACUGUGCUUCCGUUUCAUA